GCCUGGCAGGGCGCGCGGCUGCCCGGCCUACACGUGGCGCCCUAACUUGUGCGAAAUUCCAGCGGCCUGAGAACACUCCGGAGUGCACCAGUGAGAACCAGGAGAGCCUCGGAGACAAAAACACUCUGCAAGCCCCACCGAAACCCCAAGGAAGGAAUCGGUGCGCCUGCCUGUCACUGUCCUCUUUAUGGAAGAAGACGGAGGGACUCCUGAAAUGUCUGGAAAUUCUGCUCAGCAUUCGGGGGCACCCCCACCCUGGAACUCAGUCCCUUGGGCGCAGCAAAGAAACGGAUUUAGUGCCAGAUAAAACAAGGGAUGUUAUGCUGAUGUGCCAAGAAUUUUAUAUCCCACCAAAAUCUUUGAUCUGUUUGCUAGGGCUUCUCACUAAAAGUCCCCAUUUUCUUGAAAUGUCUGUGAGGUUUUGAAGGAUGUGGACCCUUCCAGCCCACCAUGCCAGAGUACUUUAUUGGCCAGGGGUCGCUUCCUACAGGAUGUUGUUUCAAAUGAAUGGCUCCUGGUCUGGGUUUGGGGCUGUAGGAUUGUGGGUUCAACAUCAGAACUGUAUCUGACUGUUUUAG
rnacentral:lncRNA from 1 species